rnacentral:rRNA from 1 species
GGCUUCGCCUGUUUAACAAAAACAUAGUUUAAAGAAAAAGAUUUUAGAUAGAUUCUGCUCAGUGAUUAAAUUUUAAAUAGCUGCAGUAAAUUAACUGUACUAAGGUAGCGUAAUAAAUUGCUUUAUAAUUGAAAGCUUGAAUGAAAGAAAUAAUGUGAAAUAAACUUUUUAAAAUAAAAUAGUAUAAAUUAAUAUUUAAGUGAAAAAUCUUAAAUUAAAUCAAAAGACAAGAAGACCCUUUAGAACUUAACAAAUAAGUCUAGCUUUACUUGAUCUAUUUGCUAAAUUGGGGAGAUUUUUAAAUAAAUAAAUCUUUAAAUAUAAGUAAAACGAUAUUAAUCAAGUUAAAUUAUCCAAAUAUGAAAUAAAACAAGUUACCUAAGGGAUAACAGCGCAAAAUUUUUGAAAAGUUCUCAUUUACAAAAUAUAUUGCGACCUCGAUGUUGGAUUAAGAAUAAUCUAUAAAGAAAAAUUUAUAGGAAUUGGUCUGUUCGCC